GAGGGGUAGUAAGUGCUUGCACUUAUGAGACCGGCGCACGGGUGCGUAACGCGUAUGCAAUCUACCUUGUACAGGGGGAUAGCCCAGAGAAAUUUGGAUUAAUACCCCAUAGUAUUUUCGGAUGGCAUCAUCUGAUUAUUAAAGUUCCAACGGUACAAGAUGAGCAUGCGUCCCAUUAGUUAGUUGGUGUGGUAACGGCACACCAAGACGAUGAUGGGUAGGGGUCCUGAGAGGGAGAUCCCCCACACUGGUACUGAGACACGGACCAGACUCCUACGGGAGGCAGCAGUGAGGAAUAUUGGGCAAUGGAGGCAACUCUGACCCAGCCAUGCCGCGUGCAGGAAGACGGCCCUAUGGGUUGUAAACUGCUUUUGUACGGGAAGAAACACUCCUACGUGUAGGAGCUUGACGGUACCGUAAGAAUAAGGAUCGGCUAACUCCGUGCCAGCAGCCGCGGUAAUACGGAGGAUCCAAGCGUUAUCCGGAAUCAUUGGGUUUAAAGGGUCCGUAGGCGGCCUUAUAAGUCAGUGGUGAAAUCUCCUAGCUCAACUAGGAAACUGCCAUUGAUACUGUAGGGCUUGAAUUUUUGUGAAGUAACUAGAAUAUGUAGUGUAGCGGUGAAAUGCUUAGAUAUUACAUGGAAUACCAAUUGCGAAGGCAG
rnacentral:rRNA from 1 species